rnacentral:rRNA from 1 species
AAAUAACAAUGCAGACCUCGUACGAGGUCCUGCCAUUGGAAUGAGUACACUUUAAAAUUUUUAACGAGUAUCCAUUGGAGGGCAAGUCUGGUGCCAGCAGCCGCGGUAAUUCCAGCUCCAAAAGUGUAUAUUUAAGUUGUUGCGGUUGAAAAGCUCGUAGUUGGAUAUAGGGACGGCGAGGUUGGUCGGUCGAAAGGCUAGCACUGUCCUCGUUGUUCUUGUUGGUCGGUGCCUUCGCGGUGCUCUUAACUGAGUGUUGCGGGGGUCCGGCAAGUUUACCUUGAAAAAAUUAGAGUGUUCAAAGCAGGCUUUACGCUUGUAUAAUGUUGCAUGGAAUAAUGGAAUAGGACCUCGGUUCUAUUUUGUUGGUUUUCGGAGCACGAGGUAAUGAUUAAUAGGAACGGACGGGGGCAUACGUACUGUGCCGUUAGAGGUGAAAUUCUUGGAUCGGCGCAAGACGAACGACUGCGAAGGCAUUUGCCAAGAAUGUUUUCUUUAAUCAAGAGCGAAAGUCAGAGGUUCGAAGACGAUCAGAUACCGUCCUAGUUCUGACCUUAAACGAUGCCGACUAGCGAUCGGGCAGUGUCGAACUUAAGAACUGUCCGGCAGCUUCCGGGAAACCAAAGUCUUUGGGUUCCGGGGGAAGUAUGGUUGCAAAGCUGAAACUUAAAGGAAUUGACGGAAGGGCACCACCAGGAGUGGAGCCUGCGGCUUAAUUUGACUCAACACGGGAAAUCUCACCCGGCCCGGACACAGCGAGGAUUGACAGAUUGAGAGCUCUUUCUUGAUUCUGUGGGUGGUGGUGCAUGGCCGUUCUUAGUUGGUGGAGCGAUUUGUCUGGUUAAUUCCGAUAACGAACGAGACUCUUACUUGCUAAAUAGCUGCUCGACCCAUUGGGUCGGAGACAACUUCUUAGAGGGACUAGUGGCGUUUAGCCACACGAGAUUGAGCAAUAACAGGUCUGUGAUGCCCUUAGAUGUUCGGGGCCGCACGCGCGCUACACUGACCGGAUCAUCGUGUGUUCCCUAGGCCGAAAGGUCCGGGUAAUCCGUUGAACCCCGGUCGUGCUAGGGAUAGGGACUUGCAAUUGUUUCCCUUGAACGAGGAAUUCCCAGUAAGCGCGAGUCAUUAGCUUGCGUUGAUUACGUCCCUGCCCUUUGUACACACCGCCCGUCGCUACUACCGAUUGAAUG